rnacentral:lncRNA from 1 species
AAAAACUCAUCUUCAUCUUAGAAAAUAUUAUGUUCUUCUUCAUUUUUAUCAUCAAAACACAAUCCCAAAAAUACUCAUCAUUCAACAAUCUAAACCACUAUUAAAGUUUAUCCUAUUCUAUCUCACCUCAGGUAAGCCUCUGAAAUUGUCUUCCCUCCCAAACACACUUAUUCCUUUUCAUAAUUCCUCUCGUUCUCCAUACUCACACCUCAUUUCUUUAAAACAGCUUCAAUUGAUUCCGGUGGGAACCAUCACCCAUCGAAGCCACAGAACCGUGAACCUCAUCCAUCGGGCAAAGGGGAACUCCCCUCACUACCAUCCUCUUCACGGUAAUGCACCAGGACCGACGGGAUUGAGAAAGAAAUGGUGCUAGUCCACCACGAGACCUUACGCAAGGCUCGUCGGCACCCCACGUGCGGCCUCCAUGGAUGAGUUCAUCCAUUGUUGUUCUCCAAGGGGUGUGGUAUCCCUUUCAGGUUUCAGUGUCCUUCCUUUUUUCUUUUCACAGUUCAAAUGUUGCUUUUGAAUGCCUUUACUUUUCAAUUAUCAAAG